CUCAGGAUGAACGCUGGCGGCGUGCUUAACACAUGCAAGUCGAACGAUGACUUUUGUGCUUGCACAAAAUGAUUAGUGGCGAACGGGUGAGUAACACGUGAGUAACCUGCCCUUAACUUCGGGAUAAGCCUGGGAAACCGGGUCUAAUACCGGAUACGACGAACCCCCGCAUGGGGGUCCGUGGAAAGCUUGAUGCGGUUUUGGAUGGACUCGCGGCCUAUCAGCUUGUUGGUUGGGGUAAUGGCCCACCAAGGCGACGACGGGUAGCCGGCCUGAGAGGGUGACCGGCCACACUGGGACUGAGACACGGCCCAGACUCCUACGGGAGGCAGCAGUGGGGAAUAUUGCACAAUGGGCGAAAGCCUGAUGCAGCGACGCCGCGUGAGGGACGAAGGCCUUCGGGUUGUAAACCUCUUUCAGCAGGGAAGAAGCGAAAGUGACGGUACCUGCAGAAGAAGCGCCGGCUAACUACGUGCCAGCAGCCGCGGUAAUACGUAGGGCGCAAGCGUUAUCCGGAAUUAUUGGGCGUAAAGAGCUCGUAGGCGGUUUGUCGCGUCUGCUGUGAAAGCCCGGGGCUCAACCCCGGGUCUGCAGUGGGUACGGGCAGACUAGAGUGAUGUAGGGGAGACUGGAAUUCCUGGUGUAGCGGUGAAAUGCGCAGAUAUCAGGAGGAACACCGAUGGCGAAGGCAGGUCUCUGGGCAUUAACUGACGCUGAGGAGCGAAAGCAUGGGGAGCGAACAGGAUUA
rnacentral:rRNA from 1 species